GGGUAGGGGGUGUGAGAGCACGGCCCCCCACAAUGGGACUGAAACACGGNCCAUACUCCUACGGGAGGCAGCAGCAGGGAAUAUUGCACAAUAGGCGAAAGCCUGAUGCAGCGACGCCGCGUGAGUGAAGAAGGCCUUCGGGUCGUAAAGCUUUUUUGUAGGGGAAGAGGAAGGACGGUACCCUAAGAAGAAGCGUCGGCUAACUACGUGCCAGCAGCCGCGGUAAGACGUAGGACGCGAGCGUUAUCCGGAAUUACUGGGCGUAAAGGGCCAGCAGGCGGCUUGGUAAGUUGUGCGUGAAAGCCUCGUGCUCAACGCGAGGAAGCCGGACAAUACUGUCAAGCUAGAGGGCAUCAGAGGGGAGUGGAAUUCCCGGAGUAGCGGUAAAAUGCGCAGAUAUCGGGAGGAACACCGAUGGCGAAGGCAGCUCCCUGGGAUGCACCUGACGCUAAGAGGCGAAAGCUAGGGGAGCGAACAGGAUUAGAGACCCUGGUAGUCCUAGCUGUAAACGCUGGGUGCUAGGUGUGGGACGUAGAAGUUCCGUGCCGGAGCAAACGCGAUAAGCACCCCGCCUGGGAAUUACGGUCGCAAGGCUAAAACUCAAACGAAUUGACGGGGCCCCGCACAAGCAGCGGAGCGUGUGGUUCAAUUCGAUGCUACACGAAGAACCUUACCUGGGUUUGACAUGUACGUGGUACGAAGGCGAAAGCCUAAGGACCCUUCGGGGAGCGUACACAGGUGCUGCAUGGCUGUCGUCAGCUCGUGCCGUGAGGUGUCGGGUUAAGUCCCGUAACGAGCGCAACCCUUGCCCUUAGUUACAAGUGUCUAAGGGGACUGCCGGCGGGAAGCCGGAGGAAGGUGGGGAUGACGUCAAGUCAGCAUGGCCCUUAUGUCCAGGGCUACACACACGCUACAAUGGUCAGUACAAAGGGUAGCGAAGUCGCGAGGCGGAGCGAAUCUCAACAAAGCUGAUCGUAGUUCGGAUUGCAGGCUGCAACCCGCCUGCAUGAAGCUGGAGUUGCUAGUAACCGCGCGUCAGCCAUAGUGCGGUGACUACGUACCCGGGGCUUGUACACACCGCCCGUCACGUCAUGGGAGUCGGUAACGCCUGAAGCCGGUAGUCUGGCCCGCAAGGGGGACGCUGUCGAAGGCGGGACU
rnacentral:rRNA from 1 species